AUUCUCCACUUAACAAUAUCAACGCAAGGGCAUUGUUUGGAUUCUCAUGCUUCCUGCUGGGGCUGGACGUUUGCUGUUAAAACACAGAAUCUGAUUUUCCCGAAGCCUAAACCGAAUUAUUUUCUUUUUUGGAAUACUAAUAUUUGUCUCUCCAACUCUCACGUGAAUGAAACCAUGAAUUUCAGAUAUUGGCUUUGAUGUUUUGUCCACUGAUUCUCAGUUGAAAUUAGAAGUCAAAGUUUAUCUCUUUCGUCACAAUUGGUUUUGUGCUGUUUCCUUUUCCCCACUGCAUCCAUUUUUUUUUUCUGUAUUAUCUUGUAUUUCCUAGAUUGUGUUCUACUUAUGUAUUUUGUGAUUAAAAUUAAAGUAUAUUAUUAUAUGAUAGGGUUAAAGGCCAAUUCAGUUCUAUAGACAAACUGAGAUAAGUGUCAGAAAUGCAGAAUAACACAGAAUUAUGGACAUAAAAGAUGGGAGAAGUUUAUGGUGCAAACACCUAUCGCCUUGGUCUUUUUUUUUUUUUUUUUUUUUGGCACUUGCACCAAGGGUGAAUGUAGUUAAAUAGUAGGGUGGCUAUUGGGAAAACACCGUGCUGGACUAAGAACCACCCUAUAUAAGCACAAGGCAAGCUCAGACCAAAGAAGAGGCAGACCACUCCAGGCUGGUUGGUAGUCAAAGGUCUAGACAGGAGAAACUUACAUAGGAGGCAGUCUUAAGCGGGAACAAGAGAAGGCAGAUUUCCACCUCGGCAAUGUAUGCCUGAUUAGUCUUUCAGACAGUGAGAAGAAAAGAGGAAGGAAAAGCUGGUGGCCGGCUGAGGGGUGGGGAUAGCUAUACUGAUAGUGCCUUAGGCCAUCUGGUUGCUCUCUUAAACUAUUUACUUCCUGCUUAAAUGGAUUGUUUCAGUUUCCUUCAAUCUGUUCCACAUUGCUAAGGAGGGGGAGGAUAUUCCUGGAAGCAGCAGUUGUCUUGGCACCAGUAUGCAUUUUCCAGUGGGACUGCAGCCUCCUACAACUCAAUUUAAGGAUCCAUGUGAAAGCACUUUGUACACAGUAAGGUGCUACCCAGUGUCAGCUAUUAUGCAUGGUACAGGACCAUACUUCUCAGCUACAGUGUGUACACCCCUGGGUCAUGAAGCCACCAAAUCAAUUGUCUGCAUUUUCUUUGGGUAUACAUUUUACCCUAUAGCAAAUACUUUAAAAUGUGUUUUAAGUAAACAGAUAUCAUGGAGUAAAAUGCAAAUUUUUUAUUUAUGUGAUAAAAGCUGUCUUAAUUUUCUUAUAUAUAAAUUGUUAUUGAUAUGUGAAUGUUAGCACGUAAUAGGGAUGUAUGAGGGUUGCAUUCUUAUAGAUAAGUAGGAAACAUGCUGAGUUGACUGUGUUUAGCAUAUAAUAGAUGCUCAGGAAAUGCAAGUUUCCUUCUUUUCUUUCACUGGUAAGACAGGGGCGUUCAGGUGGUUUAAUCAUUUUAAGUAUUUGAAAUGUGUUCCUUAUUUUGAAAAUGUUCCUUAUAAUACUUUAUAAAUACUUUCAAUUUUCGCUUAUGAAUUCUACAUGUAUAAGUAGAGUUUCUCUAGCUAUCACCUGUCUAUAAGAAAAAAUAAAUUCAUAUUAAAAAUAA